rnacentral:rRNA from 1 species
UACGGAGGGUGCAAGCGUUGCUCGGAAUUAUUGGGCGUAAAGGGUAGGUAGGUGGUCCGAUUUGUCAGGGGUGAAAGCCUUGGGCUUAACUCAAGAAGUGCCCCUGAAACGGUCGGACUAGAGUGCUGGAGAGGGUCGUGGAAUUCCCGGUGUAGCGGUGAAAUGCGUAGAGAUCGGGAGGAACACCAGAGGCGAAGGCGGCGACCUGGACAGUGACUGACACUCAACUACGAAAGCGUGGGGAGCAAACAGG